CCUACGGGAGCAGCAGUGGGGAAUCUUGCGCAAUGGGCGAAAGCCUGACGCAGCAACGCCGCGUGCGGGAAGAAGGCUUUCGGGCUGUAAACCGCUUUCAGCAGGAACGAAAAUGACGGUACCUGCAGAAGAAGGAGCGGCCAACUAUGUGCCAGCAGCCGCGGUGAUACAUAGGCUUCAAGCGUUGUCCGGAUUUAUUGGGCGUAAAGAGUUCGUAGGCGGCCGAGUAAGUCGGGUGUGAAAAUUCUGGGCUCAACCCAGAGACGCCACCCGAUACUGCUUGACUUGAGUUCGAUAGGGGAGUGGGGAAUUCCUAGUGUAGCGGUGAAAUGCGCAGAUAUUAGGAGGAACACCGGUGGCGAAGGCGCCACUCUGGAUCGAUGCUGACGCUGAGGAACGAAAGCAUGGGUAGCAAACAGGAUUAGAUACCCUGGUAGUCCAUGCCGUAAACGGUGGGCACUAGGUGUGGGUUUCUAUUAACGAAAUCCGCGCCGUCGCUAACGCAUUAAGUGCCCCGCCUGGGGAGUCGGUCGCAAGCUAAAACUCAAAUGAAAUUUGACGGGCUGAGACGUGCCGACGGACGACGACGAGGGAGGAGG
rnacentral:rRNA from 1 species